UCCCUCAUUUUCUCAGGCCAAGACAAUAUGCCAUUAGCAGCUGGAAGAAGACAGAAAGCAUUCAUAGAUACAAGACUGCUUCCAAAAGGAUUGUGCAAAACAAAGUCCCAGGCUAGAAGAAGAGUGAAACAACCCUCAGGCAUCCAGCUACCAGGCUCCACCUGAGGCAACCAGAUUCCCUCCUUGCUUCCAUAGGGCUGCACCUGGCUCUGCAGCUGCUGUUCUUGAUGCCAUCCAUAAGAACCGAGAAUGAACAGAGACUCUAACAUUCAGGCGUGUAAGAGAACAAUGAGAGCAAACUGACACCCCAUCUCAAGCAGCAGAAGGUAGAGAUGGAGGAAACACCAAAAACAAAAGACAA